AAGAAUAUAUCCUUUUUCUAUUUACAAUUUUUAUUCUUCAUUCAUCAUAUACAGAUGAUUCCAUCAUGACUGACAACCUUCAGAGGUGCAGAGCAUGCUAUACAUUAACAAAAAAGAAGCAACUCUCAGCAAAUUUGUCUGUAUGCUACAUUAACAGUAAACCAUGACUGGUGUUUAUACAGAUAAAUGUAACAUAGUAAAUUACCAGAAAGGAAACUACUUUGGAAAAAAGUCAUCUUCCUUAUUAGCUAUAUAAAAGAGCUCCUGUUUACCAUCCACUCGUAGCUUAUUAUUCACUUGGAUACAUUAAUAUUUUUUCAAAUAAAAUGGUUAUCUACAUCUUUAACAAUAAUUAUUCAAUUUUAUAAUAAACAUUGCUAGUUACCACAUAUUUAACAAGAAUGUUCAGUCUGUUAAUUGAAAUAUCAGAUAAUCUGUAGGAGUGGUAAUGGGAAUUUUUUUAAAUUUUCUUUUGAAUUUGUAGGGACUUUCAAUUUAUCUCUUGACAUUGGAUGGGUGGUUGUCAUAGGCCUCUGCAGCAGAGUACAUUUUUCCACAAAUUAUUGUCUCUAGAUUGACACAGGGACAAAACAAGGGAUUAAAAGGAUAGCUGAACCUGGUAAAUAUUGAAGAUAGACAAUGGUGUGGGAACAAGAUAUUGACCAGUGAAGUGCAUUGUUUGUUCUUGGGACGAGUAGCUGAUUCUUCUGGUUUGAUGUUUAUUCUUUGAUUUUUGUUAUUUUGUUUGUAGCUGUACUUCCAACAUUAAUCCGAGUAAAAUAAAUGUCUCCAAGUA